UGGGGAAUUUUGGACAAUGGGCGCAAGCCUGAUCCAGCCAUGCCGCGUGCAGGAUGAAGGCCUUCGGGUUGUAAACUGCUUUUGUACGGAACGAAAAGGUGCCUUCUAAUAAAGGGCGCUCAUGACGGUACCGUAAGAAUAAGCACCGGCUAACUACGUGCCAGCAGCCGCGGUAAUACGUAGGGUGCGAGCGUUAAUCGGAAUUACUGGGCGUAAAGCGUGCGCAGGCGGUUUUGUAAGACAGAGGUGAAAUCCCCGGGCUCAACCUGGGAACUGCCUUUGCGACUGCAAUGCUGGAGUGCGGCAGAGGUGGAUGGAAUACCGCGUGUAGCGGUGAAAUGCGUAGAGAUGCGGAGGAACACCGAUGGCGAAGGCGAUCCCCUGGGCCUGCACUGACGCUCAUGCACGAAAGCGUGGG
rnacentral:rRNA from 1 species